CAGCAGAAGGACUGCGGGGCGGGAGAAAGCCGUGAGGGAGCCGGCAAACCCACUUGCCACGUCAGCAACACCCAGCAGCAAGACCACUGGACACGUCACCAACUAGCAUACAACCGGCUAGCAACGAGACCCGACAAAAUGCCACCCAAACAGAAGCAAGACACAAAGCAGGAUGAGGACUUCCUGACCCUCACUCAAGUAAACGAAUUACUCCAGCAACAAAAAGAGCUUUUUACUGCGCUCUUGCAACAACAACAGGAAAAUUUCAAAGGAUUUGUCAAGAUGAUAAUCGACUCAACAAACUCACGACUUGACACUUUUACCAGGGAAGUCCAAGAAAUAAAAACCAGCAUCAACUUUACCCAAAAAGAGGUAGACGACAUGAAAAAAAAUCUAAUCUGUCAAACUGGCCAUUCCAAAGACAUGCAAGCAGAAAUCUACAAAAUAUGCGACGGCAUGCUAGCAUUAACAGACAAGAUGGACUACUUGGAAGGACAGUCAAGAAGAAACAACUUGGUAAUUGAUGGAAUUGAGGAAACACCGGGAGAAACGUGGACUGAAACAGAGGAAAAAGUUCAAAAAAUCCUCAAGGAAAAGCUGCUGUUACAGGGACAAAUUGAGGUGGAGAGAGCUCACCGCACAGGAAGACAUGAACCUGGAAGACCUCGACCAAGGUCAGUUGUGGUGAAAUUUCAAAAAUACAAAGACAGAACAAGGAUCCUACAAAAAGCAAAAUACUUAAAAGGCUCCAACAUCUACAUCAACGAAGACUUUACAGAUACCGUACGACAAAAAAGAAAAGAGCUCCUCCCAAAAUUAAAAGCUGCACGUGACAGAGGGGAAACUGCCUACUUAAGACAUGACAAACUUAUCGUCCACCCUCGCACCAGUACUCCAACACAACAGGCUCGAGUUCAACACCAUCAAGCGGCAUACUGAGAA